UAAUACAGAGGUGGCGAGCGUUAUUCGGAAUUAUUGGGCGUAAAGGGCGCGUAGGCGGCUAGGCAAGUCCUGGGUGAAAUCCCUCGGCUCAACCGAGGAACUGCCUUGGAAACUGCCUGGCUCGAGGCCGGGAGAGGGUAGCGGAAUUCCCAGUGUAGCGGUGAAAUGCGUAGAUACUGGGAGGAACACCAGUGGCGAAGGCGGCUACCUGGACCGGUUCUGACGCUGAUGCGCGAAAGCGUGGGGAGCAAACAGGAUUAGAUACCCUGGUAGUCCACGCUGUAAACGAUGGGUGCUCGGUGUCGCGGGUAUCGACCCCUGCGGUGCCUUAGCUAACGCGUUAAGCACCCCGCCUGGGGAGUACGGUCGCAAGGCUG
rnacentral:rRNA from 1 species